rnacentral:rRNA from 1 species
AUUGAACGCUGGCGGUAUGCUUAACACAUGCAAGUCGAACGGUAACAGGCCUUCGGGCGCUGACGAGUGGCGGACGGGUGAGUAACGCGUAGGAAUCUGCCUCAUAGUGGGGGACAACGUGGGGAAACUCACGCUAAUACCGCAUACGCCCUACGGGGAAAGCGGGGAUCUUCGGACCUCGCGCUAUGAGAUGAGCCUGCGUUAGAUUAGCUAGUUGGUAGGGUAAAGGCCUACCAAGGCGACGAUCUAUAGCUGGUCUGAGAGGACGAUCAGCCACACUGGGACUGAGACACGGCCCAGACUCCUACGGGAGGCAGCAGUGGGGAAUAUUGGACAAUGGGCGCAAGCCUGAUCCAGCAAUACCGCGUGUGUGAAGAAGGCCUUCGGUUGGUAAAGCUCUUCGGUCCGGGAAGAAAUCGCAUGGGUUAAUACCCUGUGUGGAGUGACGGUACCGGAA